AGGGAGAUGCAACCGGAAGUCAGCCAUCUUGACUUAACAGCGUGGGUACUCAGCAGUCGGACUCUCGGUGGCUCUCCACUGCAGAAAAAGCAUCGCUGACCAAAGUUGAGAGAAGAGCUAAUCUAAAGGAACAGAGAAGACCAAAGCUAGAAAACAAGGGCAAGAGAAAUCACACUGGACAGCAGAAUUCCAAAUGAACAACAGAAGAGUCAUGAAGAAAUCAUCAAGAAAAUUAAACGUUCCUAGGAUCAAAUGAAAAUUAACAUACAACUUGCCUAAACACUGGGGACACAGCCAAGAUAAUAAGAGCAAAGUGUACAGCUUUGAUUGCUUACAUUAGAGUAUCAAACAGUUUUCAAAUACAUAGCAUAAAUGCUGGAUAAGACCUCCAGGCCUUAGAAAAAGAAUUAAGUCAAAGCCCAAAGCACUAAGUGGCAAUAAGUAAUAAAAGUAAGAAAAACAUUAAUGAGCAGACACUAAAGGGCAAUACAUAAGGUAAUUCAAAUGGGAGUUGGAUCUUUAAAAAGAUAAAGAAGAUCACCUAAAUGAGCAUGAAAAAGAUAAAUUAGGAUGUUUGUCUUUCCUAAAUCAUAAGGCAUUUAUUUGAAGGUAUAAAAUUCCAUGUUUAAUCAAUAGUAAUAAAUAACAAUGGUAACUCUCAUGGACUAAUUGCAAAUAUCAUCUUUUUGAUUAAAGAUUACUAUCACAAAAAAAAAGAAGAAGAUCACCAAGCCAAAGUAACCAAAAUAAAGGAUGCAAAUUAAUAAAAUUAGAAAUAUAAAGGGAGAUGUCACAACAGAUUCCAGUGGAGCCCAUAGGAUCAUUGGGGAAUACCUUGGAAGUGUGAAGUGAAUGGCCACACAUGGCCUGCCAAAAUAAAGUCUAGAAGAUACUA